UUGAGAGCCCUGAAUACAGGAGUCCCCUGUCUACAAAACAGGUCAAGCACAGAAAGUGAUGGUCCAGGCAUAUCCACCCUACCAAUAUGUCUCAACCCUUACCUGGAAGGAUAAUCUUUGUGUGUCGCAAUUCUGUUCAUUCUUUACUCUCUUCCUCACUCUU
rnacentral:sRNA from 1 species